CCCAUUCUACUAUAGACAUAAUUGUAAUCAUCAAAGUUAAAAGCUAAGAUAUAUAAUUAUUUAGAUAACUUCAUUUAUCCACUACUUUUAGAUUCUGAGAGUAGCAAGGGAGCUAUUGGUUUUGCAAUGCUGUUUUUGUUUUUCCUUUUUUCUGGUUGUGGACAUGUUUCUUCCUAGUAAACUUGCUCCGAUGUAUAAGUGUAACAUCUUUUCUAUAAGCUCUUGAUGUAUAGAUAUUAUUUUUUUAAGUUGUAAUUUUUGAUUUUCGACGCCAUUUUUUAAAUAAAAGCACAAAGUGGGAAAAAACGUAGGAAAACGUACAAUUUCACUAUUUCAUUAAUUCUUAAAAACACGGACGACGUUUUCUACUAGAAAAAAUGGUUGUAUUGAAAUAUUACAAGACAACUUUUUAUUUACUAUAUUAACAUUUGAGCUUUUAAGGAAUUUUAAUUUUGGGAGUUUGUUGUUAUUCGAUAAUUAAUACAUAUAGAGACUUGAAAUUUGGUAAUAAUACUUAUAUUGGACUUAGACGUGGUAAAAUUUCUAAAAUCAUCGGACGACUUUUUUUUUUUAAUAAACGUUUUGAAAUCAAAUUUAAACGAAAAUAGCAAAAAAAAAAAUUACGUCACUUCAAGCUAUGUAAUACCGAACUGCGCUCAGAAUCAUCUUUCGUCAAGCAAUGGUUUAUCGUUUCUUACAGAUGUAAAUGAAAUAACCUUAUAUAUCCUACCUUCCCAAUUUUUCAUCCACAACAGUGGCCGCUCUCGUCUCCAGUAUUAGUUCUUUUUUUUUUUUAUUGUUAUAAAUUUUUAAAAUCAUUAUCGACGGAUAUCUGUUCGUUAUCUAUAUUAUAUUAAGUGUAGGGGUUCUAUUCCCAGUAGGUUAUCAUUUGUAUUUUUUUUUUGUUCUAAUAAUUUUCUUCAGUGUUACAUAAAUACGCGUCUAUAUAUGUUUACUGUUUUAUA